rnacentral:misc_RNA from 1 species
GGAAGUAAGAGUCGUAACAAGGUUUCCGUAGGUGAACCUGCGGAAGGAUCAUUAUUGUAUAACCGAGGUGCGAGGGCUGUCGCUGACCCGAAAGGUCGUGCACGCCCGAGUGCCCUCACACACAUCCAUCUCACCCCUAUGUGCACCACCGCGUGGGUCCCCCUUUGGCUUGUUCGGAGGGGGGCUUACGUUUUCACACAAACUUUGUAUGCAGUGUAGAAUGUAUUUUUUGUUUUUGCGAUCACGCAAUCAAUACAACUUUCAACAACGGAUCUCUUGGUUCUG